CAUCUGCACACUCACGAACGCACAGCACGCCUGCAAGUGCGCACUCGGUCGUUUUUAUCCAUUUGCACACGCGACAAUCUAUCGAGACCUCUCGAUUGCUUCCCGCAUCACGGAGGCGGCCAAACCACCUGGAGACGGACGAGCGCGUCUACGCAGUCGAAUCUCCUUAUUUCGCCUCUUGCUCGAUCUCUCUCUCUCUUCGCAUUCCAUUCGACAGCUUGGGCGUCGCGAAGACGUCCCCUUCCCUGCCCGUACCCCUCUUCCCCUGUAGCGAGAAGACACAGCCAUCAAACACACCUCCUCUCCCCUCCCCGUGCCGCCGCUGCGUGCCAGAAGGUGCGUGUGUUUUUCCUGCGUGCGCGCACAUGUGAGUGGCAUUACGACGCCGUGGUGUAACACAAGAGGAAGCGGCAGCAUAAAAGAGUGAGGAGACAGGAGGGGCAUACCUGGAGCGAGCGCGGAACGAAAACGAAUAGAGCAGCUCAGUGCUGAAAGAGGAACAACCGAUAUAUAUUAUAUAGCACGCAGAUAUUGAGUGUGUGUGCGUGUGUGUGAGUACGCGAGAGCGAAGGAGAGGCUGUACUGGGCAAGGCGUCGGUUGGAAAGUCGAAGCACAGGCGCACCUACGCGUAUACAAGUCUCUACGCACGAAUCGAAGGUGCGUCGUGUGUGUGUGUGUGCGUUGUGUGAACGUGGCCGCACGUUCUCCUGUCUCUCUCUCUCUCUUCGGCAAAUAAAGCAUUUUUCUUUUUGUUGGCUUUCCUGUCGCACUUGCUCUUCCUUUGUUUUGUGAGAUUUUACUUUAAACACGCGCCCUCCUUCUUCCAUCUUCCUCCUUUCCCUUCCCCUCCCCCCCUGUGCUGGAUAAGACACCUCGGCGAUUGUUGUACUCGAAGGCAUCCAGGUACACGCGCAGGCGCCUGCUCUCGACAGACUCCGGCAUCCGCCGCCGUCCACACCCCAAACCCACAACCCAGAGCGCAUCGCACCCGUCUCCCUUCGCUUGGUUCCCUCGUAUUCCUUGCUUGCCUUACUUCCUGUCGAGUCCAAACGGAACAGCACCCGCAGCGUUCCUCUCCCCCUCCCCUUUCGGCGUUUUCGUUGGCGUUGGCCGCCUUGACCUCUCUUGCCUCUUUCAUUGCCGCUCUUCUCUCUCUUACAUCUUCCGCUUCGUUUUCUUCUCUCGCUCACCUGCUUGCCCUGGCUUCCGUGCAACGGCGCCCGCCCGUGUGUGUGUGUGUGUGCGUGCGUGUCUGCGACUCCUUUCCUUUCUCCCUCUCCCUCUGCCUUCCGCUUGCCUUCGCUCUUUGUUGCCUUUUCGUGUCGGUUCUGCCCUGUUUGGUCUGGCGUUGCUGUGCCGGUUGUUGCGUGUGCGUCCUGCAGCGUACCCGCCUCGUCCCUCUGAGGCCGCUGCUCGUUCUUCGUCUGGAUCUCGUCCUCGACUCACGGGGGAAGUUGACAAGCCAAGUGAGGCAGCCACUUGCAGCGCUGCUGUUCUCGGUGGGAGCCCCCUACCCCUGCCUGUCUCGUUUUACACGUCUUUUGCCGUUGUUGCGCGGCUCCCCCUUCUUCUCCCCUCCCCAUUUACUUCUCUUGACUGUUUUCCUUUUCGGUGGAGCGUGGUGACUCCCCGCAUUUAUCCACGAACCAUGUGCACCCCUACGUCUGUGGCCGGCGCGGUGAUUACGCUUGCCGCGGCGGCGCUGCUGCUCCUCGGCGGCGCUGCUGUGGAGCCCGCCAACGCGGCUCGCGCCGCUGCUGCCGGCUCCGCGUGCGGCAGCCUCGCGCAUGUGUACUACCUCCCUGACGGACAGGAUUUCCGCGGUACGGUUCACGUGACCGAGGGCGGCAUUCCGUGCCAGUUGCGGUCCUCGCAGACGCCAAACAGCCACGAGGUCCCGCUGGACUCUGCCACCGGCGUUGGAAACCACAACUACUGCCGCGACGCAGGCGGACUGGGGCGACCCGGCUGCUUCGCCGCAACCCCCGUUGGUGCCUACCAGUUUUGCGCGGUCAGGGCGGUCUGCACGGCGAGAUCUUUGGCGGCGCCGACGGUGCAGUUCUGGCCGGUGAGCGGGACUAAGAGAGCGGCCGAUGGCAGCAGCAGCUACCUGGCUAUCAGCUGCCACCCCCGGCCGUGCAGCAUCCACUACGUGCUCGGUGCUGAGGCCAUCGCAUCGGCAAGGUCGCCCGUGUACACACAGCCGCUCUUGCUUGAGCAGUCGACGACUGUGAAGACGUACGUGAGGUACGAGACGGCGGAGCCGAUGCGCGCGCAGGCGCGGUACACCGUGACGCCGGCCGCGACCUCGACCCCGGCCGCCUCGAUACAGUUCAUUCCUAGCGAUGCCGUUGUGUACUCUCACCCUAUCUUCGUAGAGCUGCAGGGCAUCACAAAUGCCAGUGAGGUGCUCCUCUUCUGGGCCGACGACUUUAUGAAUCCCACCACCUACACCGGCGGCGCCUUCCGCGUGGAGAGGUCGACGAGCGUCGUGGCGGUGGUGAACAGCACCUACUUAGUGUCCGCCAGCUACAAGCUUGACAUCACGGCACCACCUCUAAAUGUUUACCCGCCCUCUGGCACCUACGUCGGCGGUGUGACCGUGCUCGUGAGCGAUCCGCAGCCACCAGCGACGUACUACAUGUACGUGAAUCAGUCUACGGACUGGCAGUCGCUCGGCACGCUUCUCUUCCCAUGGACCGCCAUCGGCACCAGCGAGCUCGACAUUCGCGCGUUGCACGUGGAGGGCAUCGAGUCGGCGGAGAAGGUCGUCUAUGAGGUGGUGCCAGCGACGCCGCCCACCAUCUUGCCCGACGCCUCCAUCGCCCACCACCGCCCCGCCAACGUAACUUGCACUGCGCCGCUCGGGACACCAGUUGCGCUGUCGGUGUACCGCGACGCCGUGAUGCAGGACGCGGUGGCAGAAGGCGUUUUCUCCGCUGUUCUGAGCGAGCCUGGCGCUUACACGGUGAGUUGCACCUACGCAGACGAUUUGCACGCGACGCACACGACGAUGGCGAUCCUGCAGCUUGUUGCUGUGCCGAUGCAGCCACCGACCUUCACCCCCGCGUGCGGCACCAGCUUCCCGGCCAUCGCGCUCUCGCUGCAGAUGCAGCUGAACGUGUCAAACCUGCUGCCGGGUGACCUGGCCACGUCGUGGUCCAUCUCUGCCUCUGCCGGCGGCGGGGCCCGCAUUCCUAUGAUCACCCGUUGCGCCGACGAUGAUGGCGUCUUUGAGUACGACGUUCUCCAAAGCAAGUCGAUCCAGGAGCCCACCACGAUGGAGGUGUACGCGACGGCCCGCUCGCUGAACCCACUAGAGGCGGACAGUCCACGCACCUCGUGCACGUACUCCCUCUACCCCCUGGGGGCGUCAGCCACGCCGUACUUCUCGGCGAUUCCAGACUGCGCCACAACGAGUGCGCUGGCGAGCCCGUCGUGCAUCAUGUCUCUCAAGCUGCAGCUCGCCUCGUGUCUACACUUCUACUCCACCGAGCUGCUCUCGAUAGACGCUCUCGGCCCGAUCGUGGCUAUGCGCAUGACGGGCUUAGCGGCGGCGAUUCAGACAGACAUGUACACCCGCAUCGGUGAGUGUCUCACCGGCCUGCAGCACCGCGGCGUCCUCUCGGAUGUGCGCAAUGAGACAAGCGGUGAGAUUAUGCUGGCGACGUCGUGGCAUGUGGCGACGCCAACACGCAUGGCGGCGCAGGUGUACACGGGCCUGCCGAUCACAGUGCAAGUGUCAGGCUUCCACACCGAUGCCGGCGCGUACCACCUGGUGCGCAGCGACUACAGCUGCGAAGAUAUCGGCGUGCUGCCUGAGGCCGUCCUCGAGACGCCUCCAUAUCAUCCGACAGCUGCCGGGUCGUCGCGCGUCUCGCCUAGCACCGACGGCUCCACCUACCUCACCUUUCGGGUGCCCAUCGCGGGGCAGUACAAGCUCUGCAGCUACAUCAGCAACGCCCUCUACGAGGUGCCCUUCAGCUUCUCCACGGGCGGCGCUGCCGCACCAGCGGUUAACCAGUACUUGGAUGUGGUGGUACAGCCGUGGCCGACUGUGGACGCCGUGCCCGCUGAGGAGUGCGGAGGUCUCGUUCCACCCGACAAGGAGGACGUGGCUUUCUCCCUCUCCAUGGCCGCCGUCCCGGCUGGCGCGUACGCAUCUUUAGCAUACUCGUUCAACAGCGCAGGCUGGGGGUCGGUGCCGUUCGCGAUCGAUGCGGCGACACAACUUGGCGGUGCCGCAUCGCUGAGCAUCGGCCCGCUGAACCGCUACACACGACCACUGGAGGUGCUCGACGCUUCCCUCGGCCCCACAACGGGGGCUGCGCAGACGUGCAUCUUCUUUGUCUCUGCCGCGAAUUCAUCGGUGCAGCGGGACGAAAUCACGUAUCUCUUUUACAAGAUGAACUCGAGCGAGGUGCCUGCCGACUUGACGGGGGUGAUGCUGCUGCUCCAAGGCCAGUUCCAGCCGGCGGAGAUGAUCGUGAUCGACGUGUACGAGAACGUGACGUUGAACCCGACCACGGCCAAAAAGUCCUCGUCGCUGCAGCUACUGCGCCGCGUGACGGCACGGCCUUCGGCGGCGACGGCGUUCGCGGCAGCUUUGCCAGACGCCAUCCUUGGCCUGCCAGCCGGUGCGCAGCACAUACCGUACGUGAUUCACGUGACGCUGGAUGGCGUGCACCUGACAGCGGCCCCAUCGACAGUGGCACUGUCGCCGUUGGCGCUCGCUAUGGAAGCCAGCACAGCGUGCCCCUCCGGGCUCGCCUUGAAAGGCCAGUGUCUCUGCAGGAACAAACGUACAAAGGUGAUCUCCGCCUGUGGGACGGCGAUCGAGGACAGCGGCAGCAGCGACGCCGGCGAGCCUCAGAGCCGCAGCAGCGCCGACUCUUCCUCAUGCUCCACCACAGACUCCAGCGAUGACACAGACACGAAGACCGUGUCCCUGGGACAGCGGCUCGCGUUUUUGUUCGCCUACUUGGGUCUGCUGGCGGCCAUCGCCGGGUACAUUUUGAUCUCCAUCAAGCGCGGCGGCGAGCGCCGCCGACAAGCACAAUGCGCGGAAGAUGUGGCCGUGGAAAACUCGUAGAGGAGGGUGAGGGUACAGCGUGGUGAGCCGCUAACACCCAUGCACACACGCGCACGAAGGCAGAGAUGGCAUCGUGCUGACUCCAAGCGACACUCGGGGCUUACGGCGCGACGGGAGCAGCGCGGCUGCUGCAGAAGUUGCUUACUGAAAGGGUACGAGAACAUGGCG
rnacentral:misc_RNA from 1 species